rnacentral:tRNA from 1 species
GGCGCGUUCGUCUAGUGGCCUAGGACACCGCCCUCUCAAGGCGGAGAUCACGGGUUCGAGUCCCGUACGCGCUA